rnacentral:rRNA from 1 species
UGGGGAAUAUUGCACAAUGGGGGAAACCCUGAUGCAGCGACGCCGCGUGAGCGAAGAAGGUUUUCGAAUCGUAAAGCUCUGUCCUAUGGGAAGAUAAUGACGGUACCAUAGGAGGAAGCCCCGGCUAACUACGUGCCAGCAGCCGCGGUAAUACGUAGGGGGCAAGCGUUGUCCGGAAUCACUGGGCGUAAAGGGUUCGCAGGCGGAAAUGCAAGUCAGUUGUGAAAGGCAGAGGCUCAACCUCUGUAAGCAAUUGAAACUGUAUUUCUUGAGAUGUGGAGAGGCAAGUGGAAUUCCUAGUGUAGCGGUGAAAUGCGUAGAUAUUAGGAAGAAUACUGGUGGCGAAGGCGACUUGCUGGACACAAACUGACGCUGAGGAACGAAAGCGUGGGUAGCAAACAGG